rnacentral:lncRNA from 1 species
UAGUGUCCAUUGAGCAAGGAGCCUUUGUAUCAAGCCAUGGCAUUGUUGAAAAUAUUUUAAUUGGCCAGAAAGUUAUGCACUUAUUGAUGCGACCCUCAAGGGCAAGGAGUCUAACGGCUCUUAAAUUUGACAUGGAAAAGGCCUAUUGGCCUUUUGUAUUCCAGUGCACUUUGGGUUUCAUCGCUAAUUUAUCAAUUGGGUGCACACAUGUCCAACUGAUUUUCAAUAUGUUCUACUUGUCAAUGACUCCCCAACUGAUUGGUUCC